rnacentral:rRNA from 1 species
UGGGGAAUAUUGCACAAUGGGCGCAAGCCUGAUGCAGCCAUGCCGCGUGUGUGAAGAAGGCCUUCGGGUUGUAAAGCACUUUCAGUCAGGAGGAAAGGUUAGUAGUUAAUACCUGCUAGCUGUGACGUUACUGACAGAAGAAGCACCGGCUAACUCCGUGCCAGCAGCCGCGGUAAUACGGAGGGUGCGAGCGUUAAUCGGAAUUACUGGGCGUAAAGCGUACGCAGGCGGUUUGUUAAGCGAGAUGUGAAAGCCCCGGGCUCAACCUGGGAACUGCAUUUCGAACUGGCAAACUAGAGUGUGAUAGAGGGUGGUAGAAUUUCAGGUGUAGCGGUGAAAUGCGUAGAGAUCUGAAGGAAUACCGAUGGCGAAGGCAGCCACCUGGGUCAACACUGACGCUCAUGUACGAAAGCGUGGGGAGCAAACAGGAUUAGAUACCCUGGUAGUCCACGCCGUAAACGAUGUCUACUAGAAGCUCGGAGCCUCGGCUCUGUUUUUCAAAGCUAACGCAUUAAGUAGACCGCCUGGGGAGUACGGCCGCAAGGUUA